GUGAUGACUGGCUCCCUCCCUCUAGUCAGGUUAUAUUGAUGACUGGCUCCCUCUAGUCAGGUUAUAGUGAUGACUGGCUCCCUCCCUCUAGUCAGGUUAUAGUGACGACUGGCUCCCUCCCUCUAGUCAGGUUAUAGUGAUGACUGGCUCCCUCUAGUCAGGUUAUAGUGAUGACUGGCUCCCUCCCUCUAGUCAGGUUAUAGUGAUGACUGGCUCCCUCCCUCUAGUCAGGUUAUAGUGAUGACUGGCUCCCUCCCUCUAGUCAGGUUAUAGUGAUGACUGGCUCCCUCCCUCUAGUCAGGUUAUAGUGAUGACUGGCUCCCUCCCUCUAGUCAGGUUAUAUUGAUGACUGGCUCCCUCCCUCUAGUCAGGUUAUAGUGAUGACUGGCUCCCUC
rnacentral:lncRNA from 1 species